AGCUCCAGUCUGGAAAGCCCCAGGCUGUGGCCUAGCAGAGGGCUAACAGCAAUGUACCUGUGCAAGUUAAGUAAACCCAACUUACAAACACGGAGAGCAUCUGAGAUCAGUGGAACAAGAGUCUGAGUUGCACUGUCAACAUUUGCUGCCAGGAUUAAACAAUUCUUCAGAUCAAAGAGUUCAAAUUUCUCCUUAAAAGAGGGAGGGAGCUGAAGAAGUCCUGCUGUUAUAAUGCCUGGGAGAGCCAUACAACAGCACAGAAAGCAAGCAAGGAAAUAUUUUUCCCACCAACUUGGCUUUGGCUGGGGUUUAGCCAUUUUGCAGGAAGAAAUGCUUUAAAAUGUUAAUGUCGUGGGGUUAUAUUUAUUUCCAACCUUCCUGCAAAAUACAGACCUUUUUCUCUAAAGUGUACACAAACAAAAAGCUUGUCAAUGAUUUUCUUAAUCCUUUGCCUGCUGAAUUGGAGUAUUGAGUGCACACUUGACCUUUUAACAUUUGUACCCGGAUUUGGUUUCAGUCUACCCAGCCUGCUGUUUACACUGAAUCCAAUUGUUCUAAACAGAGGUUGUUUCUUUCUCUCAAGUUCCCAAAAUGGAGAGUGUAAUGAUGCUUACCUGCCUCACACGGGUGUUAUUGAGCAGAAUUCAUUGUCUGUAAAUCCUUGGAUGAAUGGCCCUAUUCUAGAAGGGCAAAUUACAAUGAUGGGUAGAUAGAUAGUGUGGUCGAGUGAAUACAGCACUGGAGGAGAAGUCAGAAAAUCUGGGUUCUGCUACUAACCUGCUAGGUGACCUUAGGCAAAUCUCUCCAUCUCUCUGUGUCUCUAUUUCUCCUUCAGACCUUUGUUUACAAUAUUAUCUAUUGUUUGUAUUAUGGUAACAAUAAUUUAGAGGCCCUAACUGAGAUUGAGGGCCACACUGUGUUAGGCAAUAUAGAAAGGCAUAAUAAGAGACAGUCUUUUUGCCUCAAAUAACUUGCAAUCAAAGUAGACAAGAUACACAAACUAUGAGAAGGAAAACAGAGUCCCAGGGAUGUAGAAUGAAUUGUCCCAGGUCACACAGCAAGUCAGUGGCAGUGUCAGGAUUAGAACUGAGAUAUUGUUUUUAGUCAGGUGUCCUGUCCACUGGACCUAUGGGAUACGUACUGUCUCUUAUUUAAUGUGUUUGGACAGAGACAACUGUGAUU